rnacentral:rRNA from 1 species
GAUGAACGCUGGCGGCGUGCCUAAUACAUGCAAGUCGAGCGAACAGAUAAGGAGCUUGCUCCUUUGACGUUAGCGGCGGACGGGUGAGUAACACGUGGGUAACCUACCUAUAAGACUGGAAUAACUCCGGGAAACCGGGGCUAAUGCCGGAUAACAUUUAGAACCGCAUGGUUCUACAGUGAAUGAUGGUUUUGCUAUCACUUAUAGAUGGACCCGCGCCGUAUUAGCUAGUUGGUAAGGUAACGGCUUACCAAGGCAACGAUACGUAGCCGACCUGAGAGGGUGAUCGGCCACACUGGAACUGAGACACGGUCCAGACUCCUACGGGAGGCAGCAGUAGGGAAUCUUCCGCAAUGGGCGAAAGCCUGACGGAGCAACGCCGCGUGAGUGAUGAAGGUCUUCGGAUCGUAAAACUCUGUUAUUAGGGAAGAACAAAUGUGUAAGUAACUGUGCACGUCUUGACGGUACCUAAUCAGAAAGCCACGGCUAACUACGUG